UUCCACUUAAAACACUCUGAACUCCCACUAUUGUUAUGGUUCAACAUCAUGAAACAAAAGGCAGUUGAUGAGUCUCCACAGACACAGGGUGGGGUACAUGGUUGGACCCUCAGGCUCCACAGACACCGGGUGGGGUACAUGGUUGGACCCUCAGGCUCCACAGACACAGGGUGGGGUACAUGGUUGGACCCUCAGGCUCCACAGCUUCAUACGUUUACAGCAGCGAUUCCCAACCCGCGGGCCCCGGGACGGAGCCGGGCCCCGGGAGGGAGCCGGGCACCGGUCUAGAACCCGAAAUAUGAAAUAAUUACAGAAAAGCUUAAGAAAAAACGGCACUACUUUUGUGUUUAAGGAAGUCUCAGGUGACUUUUCUUGUGCUUCUCUUAUAAAUUGUGUUAUUUAAUAUCUCUUCAACAAAAUUGUUGAAGGGAGCCUGAGACUCAAGCAUUUCAUUGCUGUUGCUUUCAUUUGUUUUGAAUGUGACAUUUUUUUAUAUGAUUAUGCCGCUCCUUGGAAGACAAAGGUUGGGAACCCCUGCUUUACAGUACUUUGUCUCUUCGCUCAGAAUAAAUAUUGUUUAGAACCAAUGGAGGACGGGACACGAGAUCAGCAUGGAGAUCUAAUUGGACGCGGUAGUAUUUACCCAGUGUUAGCACACCGCAAGCUAAUGCUAAUUAUAAUUAGCACUUCGCAAACUGAUGCUAACCCUGUUUUUGCAGAGCACAAGCUUACGGUUACCUUGUAUUGUCACAGCAGCUGUUAAUGCUAACCCAGUAGAAGCACACCACAAUCAAAUGCUAACCCUUUAUUAGCACAGCACAAGCUAAUCCCAAUCUGGGUCAUCCCUAUGUUCCCCAGGUCCUAUGUUCCCUGUGUGCAAAGGGUUAGGGUCAGGUUUAGGGUUAUGGUUAUGGUUAGGGUGAGGUUUAACCCUAAACCUCACCCUAACCAUAACCAAUCGGAGGAGAGCCAUUCUAACCAAUCACAGGCGAAUCAGAGGCGAAAAAGGCGGUACUUGCCCCUACCAUCCUACGAAAAAAAGAUUUGCUUACAGGGUCCUAUGUUCACCAGUCACAUACAAAGCGGGGAACAUAGGACCCGGGAACAAAGGUACGCUCCCUCCCAAUCCUGUAUUAGCACAGCACACGGCAAUGACCCUGUAUUAGCACAGCAUAAUUAAAUGCCAACCAAGAAUCAGCAGAGAACAAGCUAAUGCUGACCCAUUGUUAGAACAAUACAGAGCACAAGCUAAUGCUAACCCUGUAUCAGCGGAACACAUAGCAACCCUGUAGCAGAAGCUAAUGCUAACCCUGUAUCAGCGGAACACAUAGCAACCCUGUAGCAGAAGCUAAUGUUAACCCUGUAGGAGAAGCUAAUGUUAACCCUGUAUCAGAAGGUAAUGCUAACCCUGCAUCAGAAGCUAAUGCUAACCCUGUAUCCGAAGCUAAUGCUAACCCUGUAUCAGCGGAACACAUAGCCACCCUGUAUCAGAAGCUAAUGCUAACCCUGUAUCAGCGGAACACAUAGCCACCCUGUAUCAGAAGCUAAUGCUAACCCUGUAUCUGAAGCUUAUGCUAAUGGAAAUAACUAUUAGGAGUAAGAAAUAGGAAUAAGAACAACUGAUUAAACAUUUUGAGACGGACAGAGGGCUGGAACUCCCUAACGGCGUUCUUAUCAACCGUCAUGUGGUUAGGUUUAGGGCUGUGCAAAGUGACUUACUGCAAGUGUUAUUUAAUUUUAAGUGAGUGGAACUAAAAACAAAAACGAUUUCUGUUACGAUUGUUAACAUUCUGUGGGCAAAACCUUUCAAAAUCAAAGUAAAAAAAAAACAAGAGAACAUGCGUCAAUUUGUAUUAAUCGUAAAAUGAGAUUGCGGUAACAUGUAAUUAACAUGUUAAAUUGCCAAGCCCUAAUCAGAAAACCUUGUGGACAGAAAACCUCCACCAAGCGGUUCUAACUUUGCUACCAGGAAGCUACAAGUUACAAAAGAGUAAAAUACAGUUUAAAAUAUGGAAGUCAGACAGAGAGCGGUUGAUCUGGUUGGUUAUAAAGUUGAUGAGUAUUUGUAAAUACAAGUGUGAGGCAUCGAGACAAUCAUCGCGUCAAAAAGUCAUUUUUCAAAGGUUGUCGGUCCGAGGCUAGCUGGUUGGUUAACGUAGGGCCGAGCCGACCAGUCGACCGCCAACCCCUACCUCGGUGUUGUGGUUCACUUUAAUACCUACUGGCAGCAUAUGACAUCAGCAACUAGUGACAUCAUCCCCAAGGGACGGGGGGGGUUCCCCUCCGAGCUGCCCUCUGACCCCAUCUUUAGAACAACCGGUACCACAACCUCUUCCUCCAUUGAUUCAAGAAGGGUGCAGGGUGGCCUCACAGAGCACCCACUCAUUGAGAGGACACCGUGCACCGCAGUCUGUGUGGAUCGAUGUUCAACCUUCAGUCCUCAAACCUUCCCAGCCCCCGCCGGCCCCCGAGGUCCGGGCCCCCCCACAAGGCCUCAUCACGGGGUGAGGCUGACGGCUGUGGACGCUGUGGGCGCUGGGAGGACCAGCACCCGUGGGGGGGGUCACUGACCGUCUCCACGCUCACUUGAGACCUUGCCAAUAACUCGUACUAAUAAUAAAUAAUACUAUUAUUACUAUGGUAAUACCACGACUACCACAACAAAAUACUCCCUCAUCUGGGAACCGUCUGAUUCUGCGUUACUUCUGCCGUAUCAUCUGGUGUGGUGUAAAAAAAUAAUACAAAUAAAAAUGAUUUGAGGUGGGAGGGUUGAAUCUGGUUGCAGUAGUCUGCUUUGGUCUAGGGGGGCG
ensembl:lncRNA